CUAGGUCAUGAAUUUUGAGAUAUUGGCCGUCGUCCGCCCUUAAUUAAUAUCUAACCAAAUAAAUAAAUACAAAAAUAUUCAACCAAAACUUCUUUAUAUUCAACACAAAAAAUAUAUGUAAUGAAAAAUAACUAAAAAAGACAACAAAAAAAAUCAUUAAAUACUUAUAUGUUGCUACUUGUUUAUAUUAAGUGUCUCAUUUGACGGCUUUACA
rnacentral:lncRNA from 1 species